CAAAAUAUAGUUUAUAUACUAAAAUAAUAACUUUGGAUGUUAUAGAUCAAUAUAAUUUGUUUUUUGG
rnacentral:tRNA from 1 species